CACGUAGGGUGCGAGCGUUGUCCGGAAUUAUUGGGCGUAAAGAGCUCGUAGGCGGUGUGUCGCGUCGGCCGUGAAAACCUGCAGCUUAACUGUGGGCGUGCGGUCGAUACGGGCAUCACUGGAGUUCGGCAGGGGAGACUGGAAUUCCCGGUGUAGCGGUGAAAUGCGUAGAGAUCGGGAGGAGGGCCGGUGGCGAAGGCGGCGCACUGGACCAUAACUGACGCUGAUGCGCGAAAGCUAGGGGAGCAAACAGG
rnacentral:rRNA from 1 species